UACGAAGGGGGCUAGCGAUGUUCGGAAUUACUGGGCGCAAAGCGCACGUAGGCGGAUUAGUAAGUCAGGGGUGAAAUCCCGGGGCUCAACCUCGGAACUGCCUUUGAUACUGCUGAUCUCGAGUCUGGAAGAGGUGAGUGGAAGUCCUAGUGUAGAGGUGAAAUUCGUAGAUAUUAGGAAGAACACCAGUGGCGAAGGCGGCUCACUGGUCCGGUACUGACGCUGAGGUGCGAAAGCGUCGGGAGCAAACAGG
rnacentral:rRNA from 1 species